rnacentral:rRNA from 1 species
CUUCCAGACUCCUACGGGAGGCAGCAGUGAGGAAUAUUGGUCAAUGGCCGGAAGGCUGAACCAGCCAAGUCGCGUGAGGGAAUAAGGCCCUAUGGGUCGUAAACCUCUUUUGUCAGGGAGCAAAGGCGUCCACGAGUGGACGAAAGGAGAGUACCUGAAGAAAAAGCAUCGGCUAACUCCGUGCCAGCAGCCGCGGUAAUACGGAGGAUGCGAGCGUUAUCCGGAUUUAUUGGGUUUAAAGGGUGCGUAGGCGGGCUGUUAAGUCAGCGGUCAAAUGUCGGGGCUCAACCCCGGCCUGCCGUUGAAACUGGCGUUCUUGAGUGGGCGAGAAGUAUGCGGAAUGCGUGGUGUAGCGGUGAAAUGCAUAGAUAUCACGCAGAACUCCGAUUGCGAAGGCAGCAUACCGGCGCUCAACUGACGCUGAGGCACGAAAGUGCGGGUAUCGAACAGGAUUAGAUACCCGAGUACC